AACUUUUCAGCUAGAGUAUGAUAGAGGAAAGCAGAAUUUCUAGUGUAGAGGUGAAAUUCGUAGAUAUUAGAAAGAAUACCAAUUGCGAAGGCAGCUUUCUGGAUCAUUACUGACACUGAGGAACGAAAGCAUGGGUAGCGAAGAGGAUUAGAUACCCUCGUAGUCCAUGCCGUAAACGAUGUGUGUUAGACGUUGGAAAUUUAUUUUCAGUGUCGCAGCGAAAGCGAUAAACACACCGCCUGGGGAGUACGACCGCAAGGUUAAAACUCAAAUGAAUUGACGGGGACCCGCACAAGUAGUGGAGCAUGUGGUUUAAUUCGAAGAUACGCGCAGAACCUUACCAACACUUGACAUGUUCGUCGCGACUCUAAGAGAUUAGAGUUUUCGGUUCGGCCGGACGAAACACAGGUGCUGCAUGGCUGUCGUCAGCUCGUGUCGUGAGAUGUUGGGUUAAGUCCCGCAACGAGCGCAACCCUCACUUUUAGUUGCCAUCAUUAAGUUGGGCACUCUGAAAGAACUGCCAGUGAUAAGCUGGAGGAAGGUGGGGAUGACGUCAAGUCCUCAUGGCCCUUACGUGUUGGGCUACACACGUGCUACAAUGGUAUCUACAACAGGAAGCAAGACUGCGAGGUCAAGCAAAUCCUUAAAAGAUACCUCAGUUCGGAUUGCACUCUGCAACUCGAGUGCAUGAA
rnacentral:rRNA from 1 species